rnacentral:rRNA from 1 species
UACGGAGGGUGCAAGCGUUAUCCGGAUUCACUGGGUUUAAAGGGUGCGUAGGCGGAUAUGUAAGUCCGUGGUGAAAUCUCUGGGCUUAACCCGGAAACUGGCAUGGAUACUAUGUGUCUUGAAUGUUGUUGAGGUGAGCGGAAUAUGUCAUGUAGCGGUGAAAUGCUUAGAUAUGACAUAGAACACCAAUUGCGAAGGCAGCUCACUAAGCAAAUAUUGACGCUGAGGCACGAAAGCGUGGGGAGCAAACAGG